UUUGGUCCCUCAUUUCUGCAUUACAUGCUCACAAAGGACACUUCAUCUCAAAAAAGAAAGCAUUUGAAAGCCUUCAUCUCAAAAAGAAAGCAUUUGAAAGCUUUAGUGAGUGAAUUAUACAAAGCCACCAUUAAAGUGUCAACUUUUAAAUGACUAGCAACAAAAGUCCACAAUGAUGACAGGGUUUCACCGCAGUAGUAGCGGUGUGUGUGUUUACGCUGAUCACUGGCUCGUAACGUGUUCAUUUUGCGUAACUAAGGUGGCUGUCAAUCAUUUAAAGCAUCAGUGGGGAAAGGUGAAAGUGAAGUCUUUGUAUGUGUGGUCUCUCCGUUCACAAGGGAGCCGACAGAGAAAUGCUAAUGAUAGAGCGACAAAAGUUUAGCUGGAGUGCGGGGCGAUAUCGCAAAUGUUUCUGGAAGUGGGAGGAGGACAGAGAUGCAGAAACAGCUGGAGAAAGGAGUCACGCGAAGAUGUUGAUUUGAGCUGUGAAGCAACUCGGGCUGCUGCAGUGCCAAAAGAACAUUCACUUUAACAGUAUUGCAUAUUUGUGCUGAGCAAUUCAAUAUUUUGUCAACACCGUGGCUAGCGUUAACGGAAGAUUUCAUUUUAAUCUGCAUUCUGGCCUCAAGUAUGUAUAUCAUUAGCCAAACAGCAUCAUUGACAAAGUCAUUUUUUGAACCCUUUUGGAAAACAAGAAAAAAAAAUAAUUUCACGAACAAGAAGAUUUUCAGUUUCUUCGAUUUGACCUUUGCAGAUGACUGUGACCUGGAUGACUAAGAGACAUGAAAAAAAUUUGGGGGGGCAAACAUGUUGGUCGUUUUUGUUGAAAUUGUGAUGGCAAUUACUUUAUUAGGGUGACUUUAUGUUGUUAUCUUAAUAACAUAAUUGCCAAUAUAACGUAAGGUAACGGUAUAUUGUGAGCCUAAUAGCACAAUUGUUGAUGUGUAUUUUUUCAGUAUUUUUGAACUUUUUCAUAAAACAAGAAAAAAACACAACAAAUUUAACAAACAAGAUGAAUCCAGGAAAAAAAAAACACACAAACUUUUUCCCACAACGGUAUUUCUAUUGAUAUUGUGAUGUGAGAAACAAAUUAGCGAAUUCUGCUAUUUGGCUAACGAUACCUUCACACUUUAGGAAUGAGAUUGUAAAUUAGUUUUAGAGCAAAGCUUGCACACAGGACAAGGCUACCGAACUGAUCGUUCAGGCGGGAACCAGAGGUGGCAAAGUACUCACGCUCGACUUAAGUCAAAGUACAGACUCUUGUAUUUCAAAAGUAUUUGGCUAGAGGAAGUAAGAACAGACUCAGACAUGUGCGAUGUAACAAGAGCCAAAAUUAAUUUGAUCUGUCAACUAUAUACAACAUCCCUUAUGAUAACUUGACAAUAAAAAAAAGAAAUGAUAUGAGAAAAAAAACACGUUACAUGUCACAUUAAGAGCUAGCUAGCGUUGACUUGACUUUUGUGCGGUCAAAACAAUGUGUUCUCAUAGUUUUGCUGACAUGGUGAAAUGAGGAACAAUAAUGCUAAAUUAACUAAUGACAUUAACUGAAAAAUAAAUUCCAAAACAUACCGUACUUGUUUGUCAUUAAGUGCACAAAAGUAUAUGUGAUACUCAUUGAGAGGACACUUGACAUACACGGUCAUAUAAACUAUUAGAGUUUCUAUCAUUAGCCUAAUAGCAUAGUUGCUUCAAGCAUUGUUGAUUAUUUUCGGAAAACAAGUCGAGUUGCUUUGUUUGAUUCAACCUUAACUGAUUAGCAAAUUCUGGAUGACUAAGAAUAAACAGAAAUGAAGAAAAUAACAACCAUUAUAGCAAGCAUGUUGCUAUUUUAUUGUUAUUGUGACAAGACGUUUAAAAUGACAUCGUCAAUUUUGCUAUUUGCCUGACGGUGGGUUUUCUGGGAUUAGACAGACUUUUUGAAUGCCAGAAGCUGGUGGUUUUUUUAGGCUGGCACAGGGGCACUACAUUGCACGCAGUAACCCCCCC